UGCUGGGAGUCUUACUACACAUAUAAGUCUAUUAAUAUGUGUAUCAAGCCUCCCAGCGG
ensembl:miRNA gmo-mir-11208 gmo-mir-11208